rnacentral:lncRNA from 1 species
UUACGGCGAUCCGGUGAACAGAUGGCCGCAGGUACGGACGAUCUUGUAUUCGAUUCGGAUAGCAUACGUCCAUGUGUCAAAAUGAAUCUUACUUGAUGACUUGUCGCGACUUAGAGAAAGUUACAUCGACGGGAAGAUAAACACCCAAGCUGGAUAUGGCCAGCUUUACACGAUCUGAGUAUGGCAUGGGGACAAAACUGGAAGAUGGGUCAGCGCCAUCCAUGCUCAGAACGCCGUCGAUUAAACAAACUGUUCAAAAUAAUGCACAGAAUAUACAGCUGCAUCUCCAGCAUUAUUGCAGAGAAAUACACAAGACACAGGCACACAGUGGAGCGUGAGAGAGAAUCCAGGAGACAUGGCGGGAGGCACCGCGGUCGCUAGCUAGAAAGUAGAGAUGGAGCAGACGCGCACGCAGAGUCGUCGAUCGGCAGUCGAAGACAGCAGCAGGAUCAUCCAUGAGGGCGGGCAUCAGGCGAAGUGCAAGGGGCCGAUCUCGCCGGUCCGGGCGGCGCGGGCGACGGCGGCGGCGGCGGAGAGGCACGCCGACACCCAGGCCUCGAGCACCGCGAACACCACGUCGACGACGGACACGGUUAGCGCCAAUGGCAUUGACAUCCUGCCCCACCCUGUCGGCGGUGCCGGACCCUGGCAGCGCAGCUCGUUGAGGCAACCGAUCGCCGGAAACACCUGCCGGUAGCUGCCGUGCAUGGACCAACAACAGGACAAUGGUGGACCGGGGGCGGGGGCGGGGGCGAGGAGCUCACGAGUUUCACGAGGAUGGACGGAUGGGUGUCACUGUGCUGGAUGAUGGGUGUCGCGAGGAUGGUGGGGGAAAAGGGGCGAGGCAGGUCAUUGCAGUCACUGUGCUGGAUGAUCCCCGAUAGCCCGAUAGGGACGGGAUUUAUUGAAGACAACGAGAUCACCGCAUAUAUUUAAUUCAUGUAUAUCGAUCCUUGUUUAGUUUCUCUCCAGAAAGUUUACAUUCUAUAUCCCAUCAAAUAAUUAGAUACAAACACGGAG